rnacentral:rRNA from 1 species
ACGAAGGGGGCUAGCGUUGUUCGGAAUUACUGGGCGUAAAGCGCACGCAGGCGGUCUGCAAAGUCAGAAGUGAAAGCCCUGGGCUCAACCCGGGAACUGCUUUUGAUACUGGCAGGCUAGAAUCCGAGAGAGGGUAGUGGAAUUCCCAGUGUAGAGGUGAAAUUCGUAGAUAUUGGGAAGAACACCAGUGGCGAAGGCGACUACCUGGCUCGGUAUUGACGCUCAUGUGCGAAAGCGUGGGGAGCAAACA